ACUCCUACGGGAGGCAGCAGUGGGGAAUAUUGCACAAUGGGGGGAAACCCUGAUGCAGCCAUGCCGCGUGUGUGAAGAAGGCCUUCGGGUUGUAAAGCACUUUCAGUAGGGAGGAAGGUAGUGUAGUUAACACCUGCAUUAUUUGACGUUACCUACAGAAGAAGCACCGGCUAACUCCGUGCCAGCAGCCGCGGUAAUACGGAGGGUGCGAGCGUUAAUCGGAAUUACUGGGCGUAAAGCGCAUGCAGGCGGCCUGUUAAGUCAGAUGUGAAAGCCCGGGGCUUAACCUCGGAAUUGCAUUUGAAACUGGCAGGCUAGAGUCUUGUAGAGGGGGGUAGAAUUUCAGGUGUAGCGGUGAAAUGCGUAGAGAUCUGAAGGAAUACCAGUGGCGAAGGCGGCCCCCUGGACAAAGACUGACGCUCAGAUAGCG
rnacentral:rRNA from 1 species